CACACGUAAGGCACAGAUAGGAACAGGACUGAAUCUCAUGGCAAGAGAAUGUCAAUUAUGCAAAAGAUCAUAAUAGGGAGAGUGCGGAAAAUUAAAGGAAGGGGGUGUGCAGACCAACCUGAGGGAGGGAGUGAAUAGCAUUUAAAUCAGGAUGCAAAGUGUCCUAGAAGAAGGAAGAACAUGCAGUGGAAUGAUCCAACUUUCCUAGUUCCCAUGAUGCACUGCUUUCCUCUCUUCAUGCCGGCUGGAGUGCAGUGAUGCGGUCUCGGCUCACUGCAACCUCUACCUCCUGAGUUCAAGCGAUUAUCCUGCCUCAGGCUCCAGAGUAAGUGGGAUUACAGGCACCUGCUACCACACCCGGCUAAUUUUUGUAAUUACAGUAGAGAUGGAUUUCACCAUGUUGGCCAGACUGGUCUCGAACUCCUGACCUCAGGUAAUCUGCCCCUCUUGGCCUCCCAAAGUGCUGGGAUUACAGGUGUGAGCUACUGCUCCUGGCACCAUUUUCAUCUUUUAUGUUAAGUUUUAAUCUUGAACUCCUGGAACAUUUUCACAGAAAAGGCAGGUCCAGGAUUUUUUGUGGCCUCUUCCACAGGAGAAAGUAGAGGAGCUAGAGGCCUCUAAAAAUUUA